GAUGCCCACUGGACUCCCUAUGGACCCAGGCCAAGUCUUCCUGAGGCUGGGAGGAAGCCACAGAACAGGAGGGAUCCUAGACAGCCAUCUCAUGAAGCACAUGGGCAUGUUAAUUAUUCGAAGGCUGUUUGAAAAGUGGUAAAUCCCUAACCUAACCUACUCAUUCCACUUCAAGGCGGAAGACACAAAGGGUCUUGCUGGGUACCUCUCACUGGCCUGGAACUCCUAUGUAGUA